rnacentral:rRNA from 1 species
UGGGGAAUAUUGGGCAAUGGAGGCAACUCUGACCCAGCAACGCCGCGUGAGUGAUGAAGGUCUUCGGAUUGUAAAACUCUUUAAGUGGGGACGAAGAAAGUGACUGUACCCACAGAAUAAGCCUCGGCUAACUACGUGCCAGCAGCCGCGGUAAUACGUAGGAGGCAAGCGUUAUCCGGAAUGACUGGGCGUAAAGGGUGCGUAGGUGGUUUGACAAGUUAGUAGCGUAAUUCCGGGGCUCAACUUCGGAACUACUACUAAAACUGUUGGGCUUGAGUGCAGGAGAGGUGAAUGGAAUUCCUAGUGUAGCGGUGGAAUGCGUAGAUAUUAGGAGGAACACCAGCGGCGAAAGCGAUUCACUGGACUGUAACUGACACUGAGGCACGAAAGCGUGGGGAGCAAACAGG